AUGGUUUUGAAGAGACAACGGAUCUUUUCCGUUCGGUAUCAUCGUAACUUCAUUUUAUUCCUCAUUUUUUGCACUUUAUCAUACUUCUUUACCGCUUUUAUAGAAAUCAUGAGAAGUAGGGCUUUACUGCUUUCUGAUGCCAUGAGAAGUAGAGUAGAGAUGUAUGACGGGGGUCUCAGUUGCUGA